CCCGCAGCUGACAGGUGAGGAACCUGGAUCCCAUAAGGGGAGGCUCACACGGGGUCGUGUCAGCCAGGUCCUGGGCUUGGAAGCCUGCGUUCUUGGAUGACGACCCCAUAAGGGAGGUACAAGUGUCUUCAGGCACCCUUGAAGAAUAGAGACUGCUCCGUCAAGCUGAGCGGCGAGCACCAGCAGGAGACUGUCACUGGGUAGAGGAGCCCGGCGACCUGUGCAGGCUGCUGCCUGUCUGGAGAGACGCCAGGUGGGAAAGGCUCGGGGGAGAGCAGGACUUUGUGAGCGGACCCAGCGCUGCCUGGGGCGAGGAAGCUCUGCUUGUAGGGGACAGCUGCUGUGCACACAACUUCUGCAGGGACAGGGAAGUGGCCCAGCCACCCUAAAUAACAAGAGCUACCACUUGUUCUGGGUCUUCCUUCACGUUUCCUCUCUCCCUCCUCCCAGCGAUUCUGGGUGGUCGUCCUGUGAUUAUUCCCCUCUCGAAGAUGAAGAGCUGAGCCUUAAGCAACCUGCCAGGAACACAUGGUCAGAAACCGGCAGAGCUGAGAUUCCAAUCCAGGUCGCUCCUGAGCCACAUUUCCUUGAGCCUUCCCAGAGCAUCACGCAGCCCUCGCGUAAGUCUGGUGGAGCGAGAAGGCCUUCAGGAUGGGCUGGCUCCCUCUGCUCCGGCUCGCAUCCGUGGGCAUCACCAGGAGGAAAUGGGUGCUUCCAGCGAAUUCCCAGCACCAGCCUUAAUGACAAGCCCGCACUCCCUGUAAUCGAACACACUGGCUUUCUGUUUGCCCAACCACCUCCUGUGCGUUUGGUUGGCAUGAGCUGGACCUUCAAAUAUUAACCAACUCUGGUGACCUGGAAACAACCAAACAACAAACAAACAAACAAAAACAGGUUCUACACCUGUCAAGCUAAGAGAGGCCUUGUUUUCACCAAGGUUCUGCCUCUGGGAGUGGGAGCGGUGGUGCGGCAGAAGCUACCGAAAGACCCAGUCCAGGCUGGGAAUGUGGAAUCAGAGCUCCUUGCUGUGUGUUCUGGGGCCGCUCUGGAAACAGUCUGAGUGCUCCUUGGCGGGAUGCCAUCCUGCAAGCUCUUCUCUCCUGUGGCUUCCAGAGGGGAGGACCGCAUCUCCAGCUCAGGCCAGGAGCUCCAGGGCCCCCAUCAAACCACCUGUCUGGGCAGGUUGGUUCCCAGGGCUCAGCAGGUGACGAGGCCAGGCUGUCUGUCUUGACUUGAACAAUGACACGCCUCUGGAUAAGACAUUGAUCUCGCUGAGUUUUGUGUUUUGUUUUGUUUUGUUUUGCCUUCUUGCCCAAGAGCCUGAGGGCUAUUUUGCAACCCCUUGGCUUCUUUCCUCUGGCCAGAGAAGCAAGGGAGACUGACUUCCUCAGUCCUGGGCCCAAGCUGACCAGGAGAGCGGGAAGGAGCAGAGGGCGGGGGAGAGUGGGUGGGGACGCUGCAGAGGUCAGGAGCUGGGCCACCCCCAGGGACUGACUCGCGGGGCUGCUCAAGUGGGUCCUCCCUAUUUUAGGACCUACGGACGACUCCUUUCUAGGCUGAACGAGGAGGCGAGUGGUUCUGGACUCUUUGGCAUCACCAGCGGCACCCUCCCCAAGUGUAGGAAGUGUCUGGCCUGGCCGCGGCCUGGAGCCCAGGACAGGAGCUGAUGGGAGAAGCCUCGUCCCAUGGCUGGGGACGAAGCAAUCCCCCAGACUUCUCUGCACUCAUGUAGUUCCACACACACACCCACAGAGGUAGUCAGACAGCGAGACAUAGUGACUGGCUUGAAAUAAACACAGUCAGCUAUUUCA